UCCUGAGUUCUUUAUAGAUGCC
rnacentral:siRNA from 1 species